rnacentral:rRNA from 1 species
AACGAACGCUGGCGGCAGGCUUAACACAUGCAAGUCGAACGCAUCCUUCGGGGUGAGUGGCAGACGGGUGAGUAACGCGUGGGAACGUGCCCUUCAGUUCGGAAUAACCCAGGGAAACUUGGGCUAAUACCGGAUACGUGCGAGAGCAGAAAGAUUUAUCGCUGAAGGAUCGGCCCGCGUCUGAUUAGCUAGUUGGUGGGGUAAUGGCCCACCAAGGCGACGAUCAGUAGCUGGUCUGAGAGGAUGAUCAGCCACAUUGGGACUGAGACACGGCCCAAACUCCUACGGGAGGCAGCAGUGGGGAAUAUUGGACAAUGGGCGCAAGCCUGAUCCAGCCAUGCCGCGUGAGUGAUGAAGGCCUUAGGGUUGUAAAGCUCUUUCGUCCGGGACGAUAAUGACGGCACCGGAAGAAGAAGCCCCGGCUAACUUCGUGCCAGCCGCCGCUGUAA